rnacentral:rRNA from 1 species
GAUGAACGCUAGCGGGAGGCCUAACACAUGCAAGCCGAGCGGUUAUUGUUUCUUCGGGAAUGAGAGAGCGGCGUACGGGUGCGGAACACGUGUGCAACCUGCCUUUAUCUGGGGGAUAGCCUUUUCGAAAGGAAGAUUAAUACUCCAUAAUAUAUUGAACGGCAUCGUUUAAUAUUGAAAGCUCCGGGCGGAUAGAGAUGGGCCACGCGCAAGAUUAGCUAGUUGGUGAGGUAACGGCUCACCAAGGCGAUGAUCUUUAGGGGGCCUGAGAGGGUGAAUCCCCCCAUACUGGUACUGAGACACGGACCAGACUCCUACGGGAGGCAGCAGUGAGGAAUAUUGGUCCAAUGGGUGCAAGCCUGAACCAGCCAUCCCGCGUGAAGGACGACUGCCCUAUGGGUUAGUAAACUUC